GGAUACACCAAUGUUACCAUACAGCUUUAUGUAGUGUGGUGGUGCACAUUUACCAAAGAUAUUCUUUGCCAGAUAUAUCAUAUGUACCAGGGUACCCAAAUUACCCAAUGCAAUGUGCAUAUUGAAAGGAGAAAUCUGCAGCAGUAUCUCCAGCAGAGACCUACCCGCAACUCUUACACUGUGGUGUUGUCUGUUUCCCAUCCCUCCUCCUAGUGGUGAUAUGACUGUUGUAAGCUACUUGUACCACUGAGUCAAUAACCCAUGAGUGAAUGUAAUCAGGAUGAAAUUAGCUUCACACAUAAUGUUUUUAGUGUCCAUACAGGCAUCCAAAUGUUUUCAGCUUUGAGCAUAUGUGUUCAUGUGUACUUCAUGUGGGUGUGGAGCAUUUGUAUUCAGGGUAAAUAAGUACUAUGAGCUGACAGUGAAUAUGUUUCCCAGACUGAAGAUGUAUGUCUUGAAUAUUUCUCAGUGUAGAAAAAUACUCUGUUAUCAAGUUAUUGGAUCCAAACAGAAUAAGUUCAUACAUUCCAGAUUACAAGAAUAUCUGUUCAGUAUGUUAGACUGUUUUCAACAUUGUUGGUCAAUGAAAAAAAUUCCAUGUUAAAGAAUAUACCAAUUAGAUAAUACCGAUUUGCAGAUUAUUUUAGCAUGUUUUGUUCUUUAACCAUUUUGGCAUGUUACAUUGGGACAUGAAUUCAUUGGUUGUAAACCAAGCAGCAGUGAAUCUUUCAGAGGAACAGUGGUGUUUUAUUGACUUCUGAUAUUGCAUACAAAGACAGAAUUCCUUUGGAUAUUAACAUCUUUAUAUGUUUCAUUUUUAGGCUCUGUAUAAGACUUUUUUCCUUGGAAGUCUCUAUAUGCACAGAGAAAUACAAAGAAUGGGUAUAACAGGGUUGCUUUUUUCAGUUAAAUGAAGUACAAGUUUGAAAAUGGGGACAAUGUGGUCUGUAUUAUUGUGUAAAUUCUUACAAUUCUUGGAAAUGGCCUUCAAACCUGCAGACCUACUCCUGAGGUCAUGUUUGGAGCAUACAACUUUCAACAAUGAUAUGUGAACUAGCAAUGUUCUUCAGGAAAAGGUUUCCAGAUGCCUGUAUAUAAUUUUUGUGUUGUAGUUGGACCAAAUAUUUUGCAUGAUUAAAAGUCAGUUAGGUUUUAGGUGUAUGAUGGGUCUAAAUGUGUGUCAUAUUUCAAAUGAUGAAAACAUUUGAGAAAAAGGCAACUUAGAUUUGCAACUGAUAUUUUGGUGUCAGGCAGGUAGGCAUGUCUGAGCAGGUAGAAAAAUUAAUCUUUUAACACACUGCAUGUCCUUUUGUAACCCACAAACAAAUACAUUUGACAAAGUUGUAACUAUGACAGUACUUCUUAACUCUAUAGAAUUGAUGACUAAUUUGGACCGCUUUUCAGUGGGAAGAAUAUGUGACAAGUUUGUGAGAUGUAUCCCUUAAGGAGGUUUAGAUGUGCACUGAUAAUACUAUGCAAGCGCAAGGCCAUUCCAUGUUUCAGUAUAAGUGAUGGGGGGUGGGAAAAAUUAAUAGGGAGCAAUAUUGCCAGUGCUUUUGUUGGAUUUCUUAACAAAUCCAUGCUUGGCUUUCUUGAAAAUGUAGAAAUACCCUGACAUUUAUUUACAGCAUACUGUUACUACUGAUGUGUUAUGAGCUUUUCUGUGCUCUUCAUGUCCGAGAAAGAUAUGAUGUGCAGGUCACUGUUGAUUGAAUUCUGUGCAGCUCACUGUUGAUCUACGAUGUCCUGUGCAGCUCACUGUUGAUCUACGAUGUUCUGUGCAGCUCACUGUUGAUCUACGAUGUUCUGUGCAGGUCACUGUUGAUUGAAUUCUGUGCAGGUCACUGUUAAUCUAUGAUGUUCUGUGCAGGUCACUGUUGAUCUAUGAUGUUCUGUGCAGGUCACUGUUGAUCUACGAUGUUCUGUGCAGCUCACUGUUGAUCUACAAUGUCCUGUGCAGGUCACUGUCGAUCUAUGAUGUUCUGUGCAGCUCACUGUUGAUCUAUGAUGUUCUGUGCAGGUCACUGUUGAUCUACUAUGUCCUUUGCAGGUCACUGUUGAUUGAAUUCUGUGCAGCUCACUGUUGAUCUACUAUGUCCUGUGCAGGUCACUGUUGAUUGAAUUCUGUGCAGCUCACUGUUGAUCUACGAUGUUCUGUGCAGGUCACUGUUGAUUGAAUUCUGUGCAGCUCACUGUUGAUCUACGAUGUCCUGUGCAGGUCACUAUUGAUUGAAUUCUGUGCAGCUCACUGUUGAUCUAUGAUGUCCUGUGCAGGUCACUGUUGAUUGAAUUCUGUGCAGGUCACUGUUGAUCUAUGAUGUUCUGUGCAGGUCACUGUCGAUCUAUGAUGUUCUGUGCAGGUCACUGUCGAUCUAUGAUGUUCUGUGCAGGUCACUGUUGAUCUACUAUGUUCUGUGCAGGUCACUGUUGAUCUAUGAUGUUCUGUGCAGCUCACUAUUGAUCUACGAUGUCCUGUGCAGGUCACUAUUGAUUGAAUUCUGUGCAGCUCACUGUUGAUCUACGAUGUCCUGUGCAGGUCACUGUUGAUUGAAUUCUGUGCAGGUCACUGUUGAUCUAUGAUGUUCUGUGCAGGUCACUGUUGAUCUACUAUGUUCUGUGCAGCUCACUGUUGAUCUACGAUGUCCUGUGCAGGUCACUGUUGAUUGAAUUCUGUGCAGCUCACUGUUGAUCUACGAUGUCCUGUGCAGGUCACUGUUGAUUGAAUUCUGUGCAGCUCACUGUUGAUCUAUGAUGUUCUGUGCAGGUCACUGUUGAUCUACUAUGUUCUGUGCAGGUCACUGAUGAUCUAGGUUGUUCCGUGCAGCUCACUGUUGAUCUACGAUGUCCUGUGCAGGUCACUGUUGAUUGAAUUCUGUGCAGCUCACCGUUGAUCUACUAUGUUCCGUGCAGGUCACUGUUGAUAUACCAUGUUCUGUGCAGGUCACUGUUGAUCUGCGAUGUUCUGUGCAGGUCACUGUUGAUCGACGAUGUUCUGUGCAGGUUGAUGUUGAUCUACGAUGCCCUGUGCAGUUCACUAUUGAUUGAAUUCUGUGCAGCUCACUGUUGAUCUGCAAUGUUCUGUGCAGGUCACUGUUGAUCUACUAUGUUCUGUGCAGGUUGAUGUUGACGGACAAAUGGAGUGAAAGAGAUUCAUCAUUCAUGGAAUGUAACUAACACUUGAAGUAUCUGGUUCAACAGUGUUUUACUUCCGGCUUAUAAGAUAGGGAGUCCAGGGUAGGUUUGAUGUGAAAACUAGACAGUGGAUGUGAAAGCUGAAGGUAAUAUAAGUGAAGUAUGGACUUGAGUAUUUUAAAUCAGUGUUGCAUGCAGGAUGAGUUGAUGGUGGGGUACCUUUUGGAAAUAGUUCCAUCUUCAAUAUUGUUCGGCAGUCAGGCAGUAUUUGCUUUGAAUUGUUCAUUUACUUUCUAUAGUAACAUUGGAAGAUUUGACCUCAAAUUCAUUAAUUUGAUGUAUUAAACGUCUCUACUGAGCAUGCACCUAGUACUGCUACACAGACGGCUUUGCAAGUAAGUCCAUCUGUUUCUUUUCUAACUGUAACCCACACUGAAGUUGAAACUGUAAAUUUUACAGAUGAGUAUGGUGGCUGGAAAGUGAAAAGUAUGAAUUUCAAGAAAUUGUCUUAAAAAUCUUGAUAAGCAGAGCAUGUCUAUUUUGCUGAUAAUACAUCCAUAUCAAGUGCAUAUCCUUCUUCCUUAUUCAGGACAUGAGAUCUCUGAAUCCAUUUUUUGUCCAAACAUGAUACAGCACUGUGUUAUUGGUAGUUUGAAUGGGGCUGCCAAAGAGUAUUUUUUAGUAAUGAACAAGUGGUUUGAAAUCUUCCCAUGUUGCUAUAAGGUGAAUUAGUUGCCAUGGUGUUUGGGGGAUCAGUGGUUGAGCUGUACUCAUGUUUUUCUACAGUCAACUUUUACAUGUUCGUAUUGCUGCUUUUGUCUUGAUGCAUUUUGCAAACUGUUCAUCUGUGUAUUACAAUAUGUUGGUGCUACAUUAUCAUGCCAUUUAUUAUUCUACAUUAUAUAUCAUAGUAGGGGAGGGUCUUUAUAUAGGGCUUGUAGGUCUAUAUCAUAUUUGUGAAUUUUGUAUUUAAAGUUGUGCCUUUAGUUGAUAAAUUCUACUUUUGUACACGUGUUAGUUUCAAUGACUUGUUUGCGUGCAGACCUAGUCUGCAUGCCACAUAUAUGUAGAGGUUGUAGGUAUUUUGUUCUGCUCUGGGACUUUUGGACUGUGAAGUAUUUCCCAGGACUGCUGCUACUGGGACAAUCAGUCCAGGGAGUGGAGUAACACAAACCAGUCAGUCUGUCUCAGACGUGUAGUUUCAGUGGUAGUCCUUAUGUUUAAGGGUCUAACCCUGCAGCUUGUGAGUAGACAAGUUCUUGUUACAGAUGCAACCUAUAUUUUGACAGGCUUUGAGUGCAACAAUUGCACACUACUGUUGUCUCUCGGCAUUUUGCCCACACAUGUUAAGGGUUCAACCCUAGUUACGCCUUCCAGUGCUACCAAUAUUGUUGUCUUCUUUAUAGAUCUGAAUCAAAAUCAUGUUUUGUCCAAUUGUAAUAUUUCAGUGAUAAUAAUUGUGCACGAGCUAUUGUCAAAAUUGAAAUAUGUUCCACAUAUGACUGUUUUAGUGCACAUCGGUGACUGAUAGUAUUGUCUUGCAAGUAUUCCCAUGAGUCAGUGGCAUGUUGGGCAUGUCAGCGCAUAGGCAGGAUUCAUUCAAACAUCUCCAUAGCAUGCUUAACUAAUUUAAAGAUUGAAAAAAAUAUUGUUUCCUUUAAUGAAACUGGUUAUGGUAUUUCUUAUUCAUGAAAUGUUCCCUGAUUUCAAAUUGCUUAUUAAUGUAAACAAGUUGCAUAUAGCUGUCCCAACAUGCCAUCCUGUCUCCACUACCACAAGCCACCAGGCGCCUGGAUACAAUCAACAUCAGGCACUGACACACUUGGAGAUUUGAGGUCUAUAAUGUGACAUAAGCACGCAUUUUUCCCAAGUUGCUCACAUCAGAAGCAGUUUAGAAUUGAAGAUCCGACAUAGAAUAUAAAAAGCCUGACGAUCUAUUGAAUCUAUUUUACCUUUUGUUGGAUUGUUUUUCAGUGUAGUGGAGAGUCCAAGUGUUCAGUGCUUGAUGCAAGUGUAUGGAGAUGGUGAGGCAGGUGCCAACAUGUGUUCCACAUCCAGUACUUAGUUAUUCAUUUGUUGUUUUCUGAGCCUUACUGGCUGUAUUAGGGUCCAUGGUAUUAUGUAUUGUUAUCUAUUUGUUUUUGUACAAAGCAUAUCAAGCUAGGUGAGAUCGGUGGCUUUGUUAGUUGAGUAUUUAGUUUGUUUGUGAAGCCCAAGCUUACAGGUGGGCAGGUCGCCUAGUUAUACACAUUUUGUUAUACAUUAUACUUUAGAUAUUUUAGCAAUUUAUGUAUUUGUCUACAGCAUUUUUUCAAUGUUAGUGGAGCAUACCAUGAGCUUCCGCAUUAAAAGCUUUACAAAACUUUUA